ensembl:lncRNA
GGGCUGGUCCGCUACCUCCCUGCUCCCUUCGUCCGGCCCAGGGAAGGGCUCCUCGGGCCACUGCGCGGGGUAGGGGGCAGGACCCCGGCACCCGCACAGCCGCAACCAGGCCGGCAGCUGGCCCUGGGCCCCCUGCUCCGCAUGAAGGAGAGGAGACCACCACAAAGGCUACAGGCCAGUGGACCAUCGCCAGGAAAUCUGAGGUUAAGGUCAAUGUCAGUGAAGCGACUGUCGAUAUUACUUACUGGAGUGGCGACUGGAAUGUCACAAAUGGCAGAAUCCAGGUUGAAUGUGAUGGCUUGUAUCUGGUGUUCCUGCAAGGAGAGCUCAAUCUGGAUAAUAAUGCCUUGCUGACCCUCAAAGUUUAUGAUAAAGGCAACAAUACCAUCUUGAAGCUGAAAGAGAAGGAAGAAAGGAAGAUAUAUUUGGUCACAGCAUUACGUCUGCUUAGUCCUAAUAAUAUUUAUCUGAAUGCCAGUGGCCCAGCCAUUCUUCAUCAUUUGUCACUGGGCCUUGUCUUGCUGUCUCCACCCAAUUACUGCACUGACAGAAAAAGGAUUAAAUAUUAACAUGCAAAGAAAGACCCCUUUCUGACAAACUACAAAUCUGAACCCACUACUAGCACAUAUACAAGAUUGUAUUCAUUAGGCUAUACAUGUACAAGAAGCCUGAAACUGGGGUCUCAGGCCUGUGCUAUGUCUGAGUGAGAGGGUUCUCCUGGCUAGUGCAAACAAGUCAAUAUGCAAAUAGUCUUUAUUCAAUAUCUGCCAUGUUCACCUCUUUGGGGCCCACUCCCUGGGAUGGAUCUGUCGGACUUGGGAGAGGGUCCGUGAUACUGUCGAGAAGAAUGAAGGUGAGAACAUAGAAAGUUACUGAUGCUUGGUUCAUAGUCAGAGGAAUCCUGGCUUCCCUAUUUAUUUGAUGAAAUUUGUAUAUACUUGAAAAGCUUUGCACACUUGCUGGAAAAGGAAUCAGUUGAAUCACAAAUGGACCUGAUAGUUUUACAGUUACCUGGGCAAAGUGGAGAUGAUAGAGAUCCAUGAAACAACUUUUGCCUAGCUGUGAGGAAGAAAAAGAUCAUGGGGAGGGUUUCCCUUACAGUGAUCCUGGGAGAUGUUUCCUGGAAGCUCAGGAAAUGGAAGAAAAGAGGUGUUUGGAAGUUUAAAAUGGAGACUCAUGGUAAUGAGCACAGAGCUGUUUAAGAAUGGCUUUUCAGACAGAAAGAGACUCUGAGAAAUGCAGUUUCUAAUUAUUUGCAAAUUCUGUGGCAUAAGUGAUGUGGGAAUAUUUGAGACAAUACUAGGAGGGACUGAUGUCAGGAAUUCAAGAUAUCAACUGGAGAAGAAUCCCAGCUCCUCCCCUCUCCUCUUCCAUAUGCAUGCAUACACAUGCACACAUACAUACAUACUAGGCUUGAACCAAGAUCCAGGUGCCUAAACUUUAGAAGAUGUUGGAAGAAGCUCCUAACCCCUUGAGCAGGCUCUCUGGGUUCCAGGGAACAAAUAAAAUCUUUGGUUCUGAAAUCUUCA